rnacentral:rRNA from 1 species
UAAGUGAAGAGUUUGAUCCUGGCUCAGAGUGAACGCUGGCGGCAGGCCUAACACAUGCAAGUCGAACGGCAGCACGAGAGAGCUUGCUCUCUUGGUGGCGAGUGGCGGACGGGUGAGGAAUACAUCGGAAUCUGCCUAUUUGUGGGGGAUAACCUCGGGAAACCGGGACUAAUACCGCAUACGACCUACGGGUGAAAGCGGAGGACCUUCGGGCUUCGCGCAGAUAGAUGAGCCGAUGUCGGAUUAGCUAGUUGGUGGGGUAAAGGCCCACCAAGGCGACGAUCCGUAGCUGGUCUGAGAGGAUGAUCA